GGUAUGAACUCUGCCCUUCCACAGUUCAUAUUCUUAAGGAAGAAAUCAGAAUGAGCAAAACAAAUAAGUAAACAGUGAUUAUAUCACAAGGUAGUUUGUGGCUCGGAGAAAAAGAACACAGGGAAAGAGCAAGGCAGGUUCUGGAGAUGAGCUGACAUCGUAAACUUCUAAAAGUCAGCGCAAGGACGCUCCGCAGCAGUAAUGCUGAACGAGAUCUAGAGAAGGGAAGACAGAUAUGAAAGUCUCUGCUGGGAAAGCAGCAAAAGCAGAGACUCUGAGACGAGAGCAUUCCUGGCAGGCUUGAGAAAGAGUCCAAAUAGUCAAUCAAAACAUAUAAAAAUAUGAAUUCAAAAGUCAGGGUCACAGAUAUACCACGAUACAGAAAUUCAAGGUAGUUUUCUUGAACUCCUCUUUGUCCUCUUCAGAAUUUUGUUAUUUUUUUAAAUAGAAAUAUAUUGCCUGUAUUAAUAUAAAAGCCCUAACAACAUGUUAAAAUUAGUUUUCAAAAUCUAAAUACACUGUAUACUUAGAGUUACACAAAAAAAUUCUAAUUAACACAGAUAGUCCAUCUGUGCUCAUUAGAGAACAUUUGGAAAUUGUAAAAAAAAAAAAAAGAAACACCAAAACUGGAAGGUUUUUUUCAAGCAGCCAUUAGCCCACCAACUUGAGAUCUUCCUCUGUCUA
rnacentral:lncRNA from 1 species